CACCAUGUAAGACUUCCUUUUGUUCUUCCUUCAUCUUCUGCCCUGAUUGUGAGGCCUCCCCAGCCAUUUGGAACUGUCAACAGUUCUCAGUUUUUGGUCCCUGAGGAGCAGCAUCAUCAUCACCUAGGAACUUGUUAGAAAGGAUACUCUAGUCAUCUUCAUAUAAAAUGAUCAAGGUGAAGAAAUAUAAAAUGAUCAAGGUGAAGAAAAUAACCAAGUUUCAGGUGACUCCACUGAAAAACAAGCCCCUGUGACUCACUUUAUCAUUGAGACCUGGCUAAGAAAUGGGUGUAAGGAAAAAGAGGCCCACUAUGACACCGUGACAGGCUAAAGAGCCUUUUGAAUGGAAACUACAUAAAGCAUCAAGCCCCUGAAAAGAAUGACCAGACAAAAGUGCCACAAUCAAUUGAAUGUCUUUAGGAGAUACACUUUUCUUUUAAAAAGCGUGACGCUUUGAUGACUCAGUGGCAGGACAGGUGACAAAGGAAUGGCUGCCUGGAGGCUGUGCAUGGCAGGAGGAGACACCACAGUCUUCCCGCCCUGCCACCCGUCCCUGCCGCCUGACUGUGGAAGGAUGAAGGACACUUUUAGAAAUUUCCCUGCGCGGAGAUGCCAGGAAACCAAUCAUCGCCCAGCCACUUUGUGGGGCCAUUAGCAGAGCGUCAAACUCCAUCUUUGUUUAAACGAAAGCACAAAGAAAAUAAUUUUUCAUCUGAGGAAUCACCUUAAGAUCCCCAAAUGGAAAGUAAGGGGAGCAGUAAACCUCUCACUCCGGGUGGGCAGCUCUAACACAGGGCAUUAAGGUAAGAAGGUUAUUUAUGACAGAAGAAAGGAGACAGGAUUCCAAAGUGGGAGACGAAGGACAGAGGUGAUUGGAGCCUAGCUUUAUCCCCUGCCCCAUUCAAAUGCGGAGGGCAAUGACUUCCAUAAGAAACCAGGUGCCACACGUGACCCAAAGGCAAAAGCCUCACUUUAACUCCUUGAUAUGGUCUGGCUGUGUUCCCACCCAAAAUCUCAUCUGGAAUUGUAGUCCCCAUAAUCCCUGUGUGUGUCAAGGGCAGAACCAGGUGGAGGUAAUCGGAUCAUGGGGGCGUUUCCCCCAUGCUGUUCUCGUGAUAGUGAGUGAGUCUCACGAGAUCUGAUGGUUUAAUAAGCGUCUGGCAUUUCCCCUGCUGGCACUCAUUCUUUCUCCUGCUGUCCUGCGAAGAGGUGCCUUCUGCCAUGAUUGUUAGUUCCUGAGGCCUCCCCAGCCAUGCGAACUCUGUAGGCUAACCCAAGAAGAAUAAAGCAUCGGCUUCCCUGACAUGCUGCUCCCCCCAAAACAGAGUGCCAAUAUGAUUCCAAGGUUCUUAGCACACUGUAUAUUACCUCACUCCUCCUACAGGUAAGUAGAAGUUCAGGGCCAUUGAAGAGAUUAAUAAGGGCUGUUGGGAGUUGGAAAAGUCAGAAUGGACUGAACUAAAGUGAGAAGGCAGAGGUUGAGAAAGAGACAGUCUUGGGGAUUUGUGAGCCCAGCAGAAGCUCAGGUUAAAUUUGUUUACUGAUGAGUUGCCUGCAUGGUGCACUUCAUGAGACUGGAAGGCAAGGCUGCCUAGGAGCAACAUGAGACUUGGGGGUCUAUGUUAGACCUGAAGGACUGGAGACACCUGCCUUCAUUCAAAAUGGACUAGGCUGCCUUAGACAGUGUACAUCUCAGCAGUGACAGUGAUGGACCAAAGACCCUCUGUAUAAGUUCAAAGACUCUGAUUGGACUGUACAAGUAGAGUGAGCCUGCUCUCCAGUAAUGAUUUCGGGCGUCUCAUUAACCUGGGAAGUAGGGACUUAGAGGUCCCCAUUUUAAAAGUUAUAAAAUUUUUCUUGCAUGGAGUGCUGUGGCUUGGAUUCACAUCAUUCUAUAUGGCAGUCAUAAAUCAAAAUUAUUAGCGUUUGCAGAAGACUAGUUUGGCAUUUUAUUUAUAAGUUUAGUGGACACACAAUAAUUUGGCUUUUACUCAGUGAGAUACUAGGAAUUCCUGCCAGAAUCAUCAGUUUUGAUUGGAGUUUUCCGUGGUUUUCAACUACUAAUAUUCUAGCUUUUUAGUUACAAGUUAUUAUUGGUUUUGCUUCAUCUUUAUCAUUUUAAUUUGCUGUGAUUUGCCCAGUUAGCCUGUGAUAGUAUAUAUUUUCAUCAACAGAGUUUUACCCUAUAACUUCCUGAUAUAUAGAUUUUUAGACAUCUGUUGAUAGCUUGAAUAUCAUUCAGUCCCUACUGUUCAUAUAAUCAGUGGCACCCCCCUAUCAGCUUCUAAAGUGGUAUUUUAUUCUAAUCAUCAUUUUUUUUUUUCUGCUAGAAACUCGGAAUGAGUGGGGUACGUGAACUAAGGGGUUCUCUGCUUAGCCAGUGGGCCUUGAUCAUAGUUUGGCAAUUGCUACUCGGAGGCUAUAACAUCCCUGUAGCCUCUGAGGCCCAUGGCUUCCUCCCUACUUAUUCUUUUCCUUACCUUUUAUCUUUGGAAGCUCUAGGAACAAGAGAUGAAAUCCUAGUUUAUCACUUUCAGUGUUGGAACCAUAUAUUUUGCAGUUGUCAUAUGAAGAUACAAAGAAGUACCUGAUGAUUUAGAUACACUGAAAAAGAGUCUUGAUGUGUCGGCAGCAAAAAUACAGUAAACUAAACUACCUUUGAUGAUAAUUUAUAUAAGAUUUCAUUUCUUCCUUGCAAGUAGGCUGUUUUCUAGUAUUGAUGUUGAAUUAGAUUUUUAGGGUAGUGUUUUAAAACUAGGAAAAAGACUUUUUAAUACUUAAACAUUCAGAAACUAGUGUCAUCAAUGUCAUUGUGCCCACCACUCACAAUGAAUAAAUGUUAACAUUUUAUAAUAUUCCCUUCAUUUAUAUUUGUAAAACUGAAAUAUUACUGAUCCAGCUGGAGCCUCUUUGUACCUGGUCCUAUUUUCCUCCUUCUCCAGAGACAACUGUGCUCAUGAUUUUGGUAUGUAUCUGACUUCUAGUAUGUGCUUCCAUACUUUGACUACACAGGUAUUUAUCCCUAAACAAGUGUUGCUAUUGUAUGUUUUUAAACUUACUUAAAUGGCACUGUAAUGUAUACAUCAGUCUGUAACUUUGAUUUUUCAUUUAGUAUUAUGAUUUUGAGAUUUAUCUUUACACACAGAUCUAAUUGUUCAUUUCAUCUAGUUCACUCAUUCUAGGAGACAAAGACACAUGUAGAGUAUUUCUUUAAGUAAAUAUUCUCCUAUGGAUGGCCCAAUUAAAAUGUACAGUAUUCUAUAAGUUAUCAGCUUAGCUACUGUCACUUGCUGGAAGCUUUUUCUAUUUCUGUCUUUCUCUCACCAUUAGAGUGUAGUAGAGGCCCUUCCUCUUCCUGGUCCCCUGUGCUCAUGUGUGUUAUAGACUCCACCACAUAUUGUUGAAAAAUGUCCUCCUUUGCCUUAGACUGUGGACUCAUCAACAUCAGGGACCUGUAAUCUGUUCAUAAUGUUCAUGGUGUAGCCCCCAGGUCAGUGCUGUGCAGGAGACAAUGCUGGCACAUUUUGAUGAACAGAUGAAUAAAUGAUUCUAUGUCAUGGAGUAAGCUAUGUCAGUGAUUUAUUGAUGUAGCUUAAAAUCAAAGUCCCAAGUAAGUACUUUUUUUUUU
rnacentral:lncRNA from 1 species